rnacentral:rRNA from 1 species
GAUGAACGCUGGCGGCGUGCCUCAAACAUGCAAGUCGAGCGGGGCUAUGUAAUACCGCAAGGUAGAACAUAGCCUAGCGGCGAACGGGUGAGUAACACGUGGGUAACCUGCCUGGAAGACAGGGAUAACGAUUCGAAAGGGUCGCUAAUACCUGAUAAUAUCCUUUCAUCGCAUGGUGAUAGGAAGAAAGGGGAAACCCGCUUUCAGAUGGGCCCGCGUCCCAUCAGCUAGUUGGUAAGGUAAAGGCUUACCAAGGCGACGACGGGUAGCCGGUCUGAGAGGAUGUACGGCCACACUGGGACUGAGAUACGGCCCAGACUCCUACGGGAGGCAGCAGUUGGGAAUCUUAGGCAAUGGACGAAAGUCUGACCUAGCGACGCCGCGUGAGGGAGAAGGCCUUCGGGUUGUAAACCUCUGUCAUGGGGAAGAAGUAAGUGACGGUACCCAAGAGGAAGCCCCUGCUAACUACGUGCCAGCAGCCGCGGUAAGGAGUAGUACA